rnacentral:rRNA from 1 species
CCUACGGGAGGCAGCAGUAGGGAAUCUUCCACAAUGGGCGAAAGCCUGAUGGAGCAACGCCGCGUGGGUGAAGAAGGUCUUCGGAUCGUAAAACCCUGUUGUUAGAGAAGAAAGUGCGUGAGAGUAACUGUUCACGUUUCGACGGUAUCUAACCAGAAAGCCACGGCUAACUACGUGCCAGCAGCCGCGGUAAUACGUAGGGGGCAAGCGUUAUCCGGAUUUAUUUGGCGUAAAGGGAACGCAGGUGGUCUUUUAAGUCUGAUGUGAAAGCCUUCGGCUUAACCGGAGUAGUGCAUUGGAAACUGGGAGACUUGAGUGCAGAAGAGGAGAGUGGAACUCCAUGUGUAGCGGUGAAAUGCGUAGAUAUAUGGAAGAACACCAGUGGCGAAAGCGGCUCUCUGGUCUGUAACUGACGCUGAGGUUCGAAAGCGUGGGUAGCAAACACGAUUAGAUACCCUGGUAGUC